rnacentral:lncRNA from 10 species
UUUAUAAGUGGCAGUUUUCCCUGCUCUCUCUCUCUCUCCUGCUGCCAUGGGAAGAUGUGCCUUGCUUCCUCUUCUCCUUCCUCCAUGAUUGCACUGAAAAUGACCAGCAGGACGGGGCGUGAUGGUCUGUAAUCUCAGCACUUUGGGAGGCUGAGGUGGGAAGAUCACGAAGUCAGGAGUUUGAGACCAGCAUGACCAACAUGGUGAAAUCCCGUCUCUACUAAAAAUACAGAAAUUAGCUGGGAAUCCCAGCUACUUGGGAGGCUGAGGCAGGAGGAUCACUUGAAUUCCGGAGGUGAAGGUUGCAGUGAUCUGAGAUCAAGCCAUUGCACCAAAAGAAAAAAAAAAAAAAAAAGAGAGAGAGAGAAAUGUCUCAAGAGGCACAGGGCAUCUUUCAAAUGUAAAUCAACCUUGGGGGUGUGGUGUGGCCAGAGAGGUGAGGUCAAGAGAAUACUGGAUAAUGUCCUGUUUAUGGCAUAAAUCAGGGCCCCCCUCAUUAGAGUUUCCGUAACCAUGAGGCAUGCCUCCCAAUUUCAUAAAUAAUGCUACGUAAUGGUUAUGCAUAACUGAUCAUUCAGAAUAAACUCCAGAUAUUAUUAAAAUAACUAAAUCCCCUCCACCAUCACCAGAAAGAGCCUCGAGGCAGGGAGAGUCCUGGACAUUUCUGGACUCUCCUGUGAAACCUGCAGGAGAGGCUGGGAUUCCCUGUGGGGGCCUGACUUAACUCAGAAAUGGCCCAGGGGGGACCUUGGGAAGCCCCCUGUGCUCCCAGCCUGUCUCUACCCCAUCUGCUGGACAGCCCGGCCUUCCUGAAGGGCUUGAGGGAGGAACACCUUCUCCCUGGGCCACCUAUGCCAGCUGCCUGCUGGAGGGAGGCUGACCUGGGAAAGCCCAGCACACACUUGGGGCCCUGCCCAGCAGCAAGUCCUCCUCAGAGCCCGUUGGGGACAAGAGCCAAGCCAGAGUGACAUCUCUGAGGCAACAGCAAUGUCCGUGCUUGGGCAUUACAGUCUCUGCAGCUCACAUCUUCCCAGAGGCUAAACUAAUAGGAAUAACAGCAGGAGCUGGCGGCUGAUGACUGAACAAGUGCUCAGAGCCCUGGGAGAGCCGCCGUCCAUCUGGGAUUUCAUUCCAUGCAGACAAUGGCCCUUUGAAGAAAGUGCUAAUGUAGUCCCCAUUUUCCAGGUGGUGAAACUAAGACUUACCCAGAGGCCGACACCAGCUUCCCAAAGACUACCAGUUUGGGGCAGAGGUGGGCUCUGAUGUAACUGCCCCAUGCACAGCACCCCUCUGCAGGUACUCAUGAAUAGCCACCCAGGCACACUUCUCAUUUAUCCCGUACCUUUCAUGGCACCGCUUAUAAUACUCUCCACAAGCUGUCUUUGCUGUUCUUAGAUACUGCAAGAAUAUCUAUUAUCAUUGAUAUUUAACAAAUUGGAAUGGUAUUAUAUAAGCAGCCAGGUUACAUCUGGCAGAGCCUUGUUUUGGAGAAAAAAAUUAAAUGUGAAAUAAUAAAACACGAAAACUUACAACUUACAUCUAGGGUAUGAAAAUACUGAGCAUGAGCAGGCCACAGUGUACACCCCACGGAUAAGAACCUGGAAGAACUCCUUGGCUAAGACACAUGUCGCUACUCUGAUUUGGGGAACAUUCUCCGGUGGGGUUCUCAUUCCUUCCCAAACACACAAGUUUUACAGAUGAGACCAUGGUUGAAGAAGGGGACUCUGAGCUCAGAGUGAAACAUGGUUAAUAUACAGAUUUCUCACCUUGUGGUAAUGGGGUGCUUGUUCCCAAGGUGGGGUAAAGAAAAAAUAAACCAGAAUAAUUAAUCAUUCCAUAAGAACACAAAUCCCUUUAUUCUCUGUUCUAAUAAGAGAGUGACACUCUCCCCUGCAGCAUUUUUGUAAAGCGUUGAUUGAAGUACCGCAUCCAGGAAUCCCGACUGACAUGAUCCAUAAGCUGUUGCGCACAGGCGCUACUCACUCCAUUCAUUCAUUCAUUCAUUCAUCCAUUCAUUCAUUCAUUCAUCCAUUCAUUCAUUCAUUCAUCCAUCCAUCCAUUCAUUCAUUCAUUCCUUCAUCUGGCAAAGAUUGAUUAAGCUCCUACCAAGUGCCAAGCCCAUUUCUAGGAGCCGAGCGCACAUCAGGGAAGAAAAAAGGCAAGAAAACUUGUCCUCAUGGAGUUUACAGUUAAACAACAUUUAAAAAUAAAACAGUAACAAAUUUGGGGAGUUAGGAAUUUAAAACAACAACAACAACAACAACAAACAAGGAUUACCAAAAAAAAAACAAAAACUAGGCUGGGCACUGUACACUACUGGGAUUUUAGCUCACACUUGUAAUCCCAGCACUUUGGGAGGCCAAGGUGCGAGGAUCACUUGAGGCCAGGAGUUUGAGACCGGCCUGGACAGUAUAAUGGGACCCUGUUUCUAAAAAAGAAGUUCAAGAAGAAUUAGCUGGGUGUGGUGGUGCAUGCCUGCAGUCCCAGCUACUAGGGAUGCUGCGGCGGGAGGAUGGCUGGAGCCCAGGAGUUUGAGUUGCAGUGAGCUAUGAUCACAACACUGCACUCCACCAUGGGUGACAGAGCAAGACUCUAAGAAAAUUUUAAAAAUAAAAAAAUCAAACAUAGGGUAUGUCUGAUAGUGGUAAGAUAAAAAUAAGGCAGGGGAGGGGGCUAAGGGAUGCUGGGAGUUGGGGGAAACCCCUGGUGUUUUGGUAGCAAUUUGAAGGAGACCUGCAGAGGAGAAGAGGAGAGGAUGUGUCUGCCUGGGAUGUGCAGGCAGAGGGAAGAGCAAGUGCAUCUGAGAGAGAGAGCAGGGCGGAUGGGCUCCAGAAACACCAGGAGGCCAGUGUAGCUACACAGGUGGGCAGAGGGCAGUGGCAGGAGAUGGGGUCAGUGGGAGAUGGGGACAAAUCAUAGGGCCCUGGGCAUACUUCAAGGGCCUUGGUCUUACCCCAUGUGAAGGGAGCCACUGGGGCAGCGAUCAGAUCCAACUUGGUUUAACAGGACUCCUCAGACUGCCAAAUUCAGAAUCUAAGGGGGCGCGGCAGGGAGCUUGGUAAAGGCAGUUCCGUAACUGUAACACUCUCUACCCACCUUUCUGUAUAAAAGAAAACACUGUAAAAUAAAUUCUGUAACAUUUAUUCUUUG